CGGAGGGUGCAAGCGUUAUCCGGAUUCACUGGGUUUAAAGGGUGUGUAGGCGGGUAUUUAAGUCAGUGGUGAAAUCUCCGAGCUCAACUCGGAAACUGCCAUUGAUACUAUUUAUCUUGAAUAUUGUUGAGGUAGGCGGAAUAUGUCAUGUAGCGGUGAAAUGCUUAGAUAUGACAUAGAACACCGAUUGCGAAGGCAGCUUGCUAAACAAUUAUUGACGCUGAGGCACGAAAGCGUGGGAUCAAACAGGAUU
rnacentral:rRNA from 1 species